UACGUAGGGGGCAAGCGUUGUCCGGAUUCAUUGGGCGUAAAGAGCUCGUAGGCGGCUUGGCAAGUCGGGUGUGAAACCUCCAGGCUCAACCUGGAGACGCCACCCGAUACUGCCAUGGCUAGAGUCCGGUAGGGGAGCGUGGAAUUCCCGGUGUAGCGGUGAAAUGCGCAGAUAUCGGGAGGAACACCAGUGGCGAAGGCGGCGCUCUGGGCCGGAACUGACGCUGAGGAGCGAAAGCGUGGGGAGCAAACAGG
rnacentral:rRNA from 1 species